AACGAACGCUGGCGGCAUGCCUAACACAUGCAAGUCGAACGAGACCUUCGGGUCUAGUGGCGCACGGGUGCGUAACGCGUGGGAACCUGCCCUUAGGUUCGGAAUAACUCCCCGAAAGGGGUGCUAAUACCGGAUAAUGUCUUCGGACCAAAGAUUUAUCGCCUUUGGAUGGGCCCGCGUUGGAUUAGCUAGUUGGUAGGGUAAAAGCCUACCAAGGCGACGAUCCAUAGCUGGUCUGAGAGGAUGAUCAGCCACACUGGGACUGAGACACGGCCCAGACUCCUACGGGAGGCAGCAGUGGGGAAUAUUGGACAAUGGGCGAAAGCCUGAUCCAGCAAUGCCGAGUGAGUGAUGAAGGACUUAGGGUUGUAAAGCUCUUUUACCCGGGAUGAUAAUGACAGUACCGGGAGAAUAAGCUCCGGCUAACUCCGUG
rnacentral:rRNA from 1 species